rfam:Halanaerobium hydrogeniformans chromosome, complete genome.
AUUUCCUUUAAAUCAGUCCAGUGAGGCAGAUAAGGAGAAAACAUAGAGCUAUUUUAAUGCUCUGAAUUUGUUAACUUCUUAUCAGUCUGACUGUUAAGAAGUUUUUUAAU